CCCAAAUCUUGUCAGUCAUUGAAGCCCUCAACCGUAAAACCACACAAAAAAGUAGACCGUAACAAACUGUGCUAUAAGGAUGUGUCACCAAUUCACCAUCACAGCCAUGCCUGUAUAUGUAACAAUAGCAAUAUCGUCCUCUCAACCUUUUUAUAAUACUUAAACCAAAGGUUAGAGAGAAUGAGAAAAAGAGGGUGUCAAAAGGAGCGGAGAAUAGGAGAUGCCAAUGUACGUUAAUGGUGGAUUCUCAUAUUUCUCAUUUAGGAUCGCUGGAUGCAGCGGUUCAUCGAUCUGUUCCUUAAUCCCAAUGAUUGAGAGCGGUCGGGAACAAGAAUGGGUCGAUAAACCUCUGCAUCCAGCGAUCUCAACUGUUUGUUUUUUUAGUUGUGUUGGUUGCAGGUUUACGGUUGGAUUUGUUGUUGUUGAAGUGUUGUGUCUCAGUACUAAUGGUUUUGGGCAUAUCAUCAAUAUGUGUACGACAAAAGUUUGUUGUAGGAUUGGGUUUCAAGUUGAAUUAUCAACUCAAACUCAAACACCAUUUGUCUAUUUAUUUGUGUAAAAACAUCAACUCUAGUUCAUAGACACUUAACCGUGUAAUCAAGCACGACAUAUUUAACUCA